rnacentral:rRNA from 1 species
AUACGGAGGGUGCAAACGUUGUUCGGAAUUACUGGGCGUAAAGCGCGCGUAGGCGGUUUGUUAAGUCAGAUGUGAAAGCCCAAGGCUCAACCUUGGACGUGCAAUUGAAACUGGCAGACUUGAGUACUGGAGGGGAUGGUGGAAUUCCCGGUGUAGAGGUGAAAUUCGUAGAUAUCGGGAGGAAUACCGGUGGCGAAGGCGACCAUCUGGCCAGAUACUGACGCUGAGGUGCGAAAGCAUGGGGAGCAAACAGGAUUAGAAACCCCAGUAGUCC